AUUGUGGCCCAGACAACAAGAAGCUGCAGCAUCAGGCCAUCAGGGCUGCGUUUAGCUAGACAAAUGCUGGCCAACAUGUUUUGCGCCACACGUUAUCUCUCCAGCCAGCAUGUUAGCCAGCAAGAAAAAAAAACAAAGUUGGGGGGAACUGAACGCAGUCCAGACAGCCACUCCCAGGUGAAUCGGACAAGAGCCACUGCUGAAUUUAGGCAGGCAGACUGUUCUAACUGUCCCCACACUGCGUUUGAACACGACGCAACCUACUCCCAAAACCGCUAUUCUGCCCCACAGACCAAUGCAACCUCUGAGCCCACAAACUCCCAUUCUUACUACUGAAUCAGGUAAGCCGCUCAAGCCCCUGUGUGCCAGCCGGCAGCCUAGCUCUCUGAACUGCUGGAUAACCCAAACCGGCAAGCUUUUCACACUGCAGCUGAUCUUUAAGUGUCCUUUUGUUGGGAAAACGGCAUUCAAAGCCUCACAGAACCACCACGCAAGGGUAAACGCUCUUCUCUUUGUUCCUUACCCAUGAAUCAUUUGGAGCACAGCCUGCAGUAAAUCCCAGCCCUUGCUAUAACCAGUACGCUACCAGCUCUCCUUCCCAGCUUGCUUGCUCUCCCUCCGCCUCUGUCUCUCUCACUUCAGCCUGUGAGCAGUAAGCUGUGUGUUUUUUUUUUUCUUCCAGAAGCACAGCAGAGCUCUCAGGAGGGCUAACCCAGAGCGCGAGAACACGGGUACGAAAAACAAACAUCAUCAGUAACCUGUCCACAGAGCCCCAGCGGCGAGCCCGACACCUCCCCCCUCUCGCUGCCAGGGCUGCCUGCUUGAAUCCAUCUCCGCCUGCUCAAAGCACCAUCAUCGCCGUGGACGCAUUACCAUGAUUUAUGGCUCCCACGGCUGCCAAAAAACCAAUAGAUCAGCCUGGAUAGAGAGUGCGAGUGUGUGGGGGGGGGGGAACGAGGAUUGGAGGGGACCCAGAGAAAAACCCACAGAUGAUAAACUAGUCUGAAGCGUGGAAGAAAACACAGUUUCGGUGCUCUCUGUUAAUUGCUCAAACGCAGCCCUAGUAUGUUUUUAUUCUGUCCAGGCAGAUGUAAAGAUACAUCUGUACAGUUUAAGUGCAUUAGGAAGGCUUUGCUGUUUGCCAGCGGUAGCAGUUAAAAGGCAAAGGGGGUCGUCCUAUGGUGGAGUCUACAAGGGCGUUGGAUGUCUGAUUGAGACGAUACUUAAGAAACACAGGUGGAACGAGGAGAAAACAAAAUCACACUUCUGAUCUGUGGGUCCUCAGGAGGCGGAGGGAUAAUCACAUUUGGCAAUUCCCCACACAGCUGCUCAGGAGAACCGAAGGCUCAGCGGGCGUCCUGCGAUCCCACGAGCGAGCCAGCUUCCUCUUCCACACCCAGGAACUCGAGAGCUGAUGUAGGGUCCGAGAUGAGGAGCACCAGACCCAAUGUGACUCUCCCUCUGUGUAUCUUGCACAGCAAUGGCUUGUUCGGUACAUUUGUUACAUACAGUAGGUCUGUACGCUGCAGUCUUAUGUGUUCUCUAUGUAGGGCCCCAGAGAGAACAGCUGUGCUGCCAUAGACUUUAUAAAUGAAAUACAUUGUAGAAGAAAAAACAUUACAAAGCCACUGUUUCUCACUCUGUGCUUUAGUCCAACAGCCCGGCUUGCUGUGAUCAUUCUUCAUUACACUGAGUUUGUAAUUUACCAUCGCUAUUUUGAGUUGGUUUACUUAGCGAUUUACAGCCCCUGGUUUUAUCUCUCAUAAUCUUUUUACCUCACAGUUCAGAAUUGCUUUCUCUUUUUCUAAGCAGACAGUAUUUUAAAAGACAAACUAUGAUGGUUUGGCUAAUGAGUUUGAUAAGAUAUCAAAAAUACAAACACACACAUUUUCGCACCAUACGCUAGUUGUAUUUUUACAAUUAUAACGGUGUUUUAUUGUGGGGGGGUUGCAGUCACACUGAAUAGCGUUUCUGGAUUCAUUUUAGAAUGACAAUGGAUUAUUAUGCACGAAGCAUUACAUUUGCAAAUGAAGUCUGGAUUCAAAAUUAAGUUUGGAUUCUUUUUGCAUUCAUUUUCCUGUAACCGUUUCACAUUAUAAAGGCAUUCAUUAAACAGUCACUGUAUAUUGAUGACAGUUUUCUGCAAAAAUGAUUGGUUUAAAAACAAGAGCAAUGCACUUUUAUUUACAGUCACUUUUCAUUUAAUAAAGCCAUCAAUUGAAAAGACGUGCAAGUGGUGAGGAGAAAGCCAUCCUGAGAAAUGACAUGAUGCUGAUUUCUAGAGCAUUGCUCCACUUGCUCGGUGCAGUAUUUGCAGGCUGUGGACCUCAUGCUGAAAGGCACUGGGCAUCAGAGAAAUGUCAGGACCCAGAGCAGGCACACCUAGCUCCCAGAGCAUCUGCCCAAGACCAGCCCCUGGUUGGUGGAAAGUGAUUGCGUCUCCUGAUCAAAGGUGUGCCUUGACGUGACUCAGUCAGGAACAGGUGCUCCUAACAGCCAUCACGAGGACCCCUGCCAGCUCACUAACAGAGAAACCUGCUUAGAUGUGAUAUACGUCUCUAAUAGAGGGAACUACUAGACCAAGGCUGUUAGCAGCUCAUUCGGGUGUUUUUAGCUCAUUGGUGGAGCACUCAGCUAUGAGCUAGAACAUACAGCACUCAGUUCUAGGUCACAUAAACAAAUCCUGCUUUGAAAAAAAAAAAAAAAAUCACUCGAUCAUUCACGACCAUGACACGCUUGAGUGACUAUGACUGAAGCAUAUGCGCUUAAUCACCUAAUUAAUGAGACAGUUGAUUGGACUCUGGAUAUGGAGUGAUUUCAGCUGUUGAAUUGCAAGCUUGAAUAAAAGCAAUAAAGAAAAUCACAGAAAAAAAACAA